rnacentral:rRNA from 1 species
GACAGAGGGUGCAAACGUUGUUCGGAAUUACUGGGCGUAAAGCGCGUGUAGGCGGCUAAGCAAGUCGGGCGUGAAAUCCCAUGGCUCAACCAUGGAAGUGCACCCGAAACUGCAUAGCUAGAGUCCUGGAGAGGAAGGUGGAAUGCUUGGUGUAGAGGUGAAAUUCGUAGAUAUCAAGCGGAACACCGGUGGCGAAGGCGGCCUUCUGGACAGUGACUGACGCUGAGACGCGAAAGCGUGGGGAGCAAACAGG